AAGCUGGGAGAGGGGCGGAUGCAGGCGAGGAGCAGGAUGGGAGACCGCCUGGGAAUACCGGGUGCUGUAGGCUUUU
rnacentral:miRNA from 1 species